rnacentral:pre_miRNA from 1 species
AGUGCGAUAGCUGGAUCAAAUGGUAGCUCCAUUCCCAGAUUUCCAAGGAAUCUCCAUACUGCUUUCCAUAUUGGCUGUACCAAUUUGUAGACCCACCAGCAAU